GCCGCGUGAGGGAUGACGGCCUUCGGGUUGUAAACCUCUUUCAGUAGGGAAGAAGCGAAAGUGACGGUACCUGCAGAAGAAGCGCCGGCUAACUACGUGCCAGCAGCCGCGGUAAUACGUAGGGCGCAAGCGUUAUCCGGAAUUAUUGGGCGUAAAGAGCUCGUAGGCGGUUUGUCGCGUCUGCCGUGAAAGUCCGGGGCUCAACUCCGGAUGUGCGGUGGGGGGGGGCUCAUUCGGGGGGCAGCAGGGGGAGGGGGAAUCCCCGGGGAAGGGUU
rnacentral:rRNA from 1 species